rnacentral:snRNA from 1 species
GGAUGUGAGGGUGAUCCGGCUGCAACAUCUGUCACCCCAUUGAUCUCCAGGGUUUAUUUGGCUGGUCUGGCUGGCUAGGUGGGUGUCUCCUUCUUCCCUCACUGCUCCAUGUGUGUCCCUCUUGAAGCUGCGCCCCUGGUGGAAGAGGAUGAACUUCCUGAAUAGAGGAGGACCAGUCUUCGGUCAAGGAAAUAUGAAUAACUGCUCUCCUCUUUUAGAACCUCCAAACAAACUCAAGAAAUAGAACUUUAACUGUUAGUUCUGAAUUAUAUUUAUUAUUAUCAUGAUGAUGAUGAU